GAUGAACGCUGGCGGCGUGCCUAAUACAUGCAAGUCGAGCGAACAGACGAGGAGCUUGCUCCUCUGACGUUAACGGCGGACGGGUGAGUAACACGUGGAUAACCUACCUAUAAGACUGGGAUAACUUCGGGAAACCGGAGCUAAUACCGGAUAAUAUAUUGAACCGCAUGGUUCAAUAGUGAAAGACGGUUUUGCUGUCACUUAUAGAUGGAUCCGCGCCGCAUUAGCUAGUUGGUAAGGUAACGGCUUACCAAGGCAACGAUGCGUAGACGACCUGAGAGGGUGAUAGGCCACACUGGAAGUGAGACACGGUCCAGACUCCUACGGGAGGCAGCAGUAGGGAAUCUUCCGCAAUGGGCGAAAGCCUGACGGAGCAACGCCGCGUGAGUGAUGAAGGUCUUCGGAUCGUAAAACUCUGUUAUUAGGGAAGAACAAAUGUGUAAGUAACUAUGCACGUCUUGACGGUACCUAAUCAGAAAGCCACGGCUAACUACGUG
rnacentral:rRNA from 1 species